AAAAAUAGAAGAGUAAUUUUUUCGGAGUUAACAUUAUUUUCAUCUAAAAGAGUCAUGUUUAUACAUUAUAGAGUAAAAUCGUGUCAAUUGGUCAAUAGAAUCGGAGGAAAAAAACAGAGUAAAUCAUAUCGGAGUAAAACAAGAAAAACGCCCACUGAAGUUCGUUAAGUUUCGUUUCUUCCACCAUUUUGUUUUCCCGCAUUGGACCGGAGGCGACGGUCUGCUUUGUGCCAGGAUGCAAGCUGUGCGUGUCAAACAUAGAGAUCGACAGAAAUACAUCUGUUUUGAAGGCCAACUGACUUACAGUUCAUUUUUGGAAUGUGGUG